GCUCCGGCGACCUAGUGGUUAGAGUAUCCACUUUGGAUGCGGGAGAUCGCUGGUUCGAACCCAGGCAUAUUUAUACCGAAGACU